rnacentral:rRNA from 1 species
GACGAACGCUGGCGGCGUGCCUAAUACAUGCAAGUAGAACGCUGAAGGAGGAGCUUGCUUCUCUGGAUGAGUUGCGAACGGGUGAGUAACGCGUAGGUAACCUGCCUGGUAGCGGGGGAUAACUAUUGGAAACGAUAGCUAAUACCGCAUAAGAGUAGAUGUUGCAUGACAUUUGCUUAAAAGGUGCAAUUGCAUCACUACCAGAUGGACCUGCGUUGUAUUAGCUAGUUGGUGAGGUAACGGCUCACCAAGGCAACGAUACAUAGCCGACCUGAGAGGGUGAUCGGCCACACUGGGACUGAGACACGGCCCGGACUCCUACGGGAGGCAGCAGUAGGGAAUCUUCGGCAAUGGACGGAAGUCUGACCGAGCAACGCCGCGUGAGUGAAGAAGGUUUUCGGAUCGUAAAGCUCUGUUGUAAGAGAAGAACGAGUGUGAGAGUGGAAAGUUCACACUGUGACGGUAUCUUACCAGAAAGGGACGGCUAACUACGUG